AAUCCGUGUUGCGGGCACUUUUGCAAGAGGUCCUUGAAACGUUUCCAUGUCUCAAACAAUAAUUUGAGCUCCAUCUGUACGAAUGAGGAUAUCUCAACACAAAGCCU